rnacentral:tRNA from 1 species
UCCCUGGUGGCUCAGACGGUAAAACAUCUGCCUGCAAUGCAGGAGACCCGGGUUUGAUUCCUGGGUUGGGAA